rnacentral:rRNA from 1 species
GAUGAACGCUGGCGGCGUGCUUAACACAUGCAAGUCGAACGAUGAAGCCCAGCUUGCUGGGUGGAUUAGUGGCGAACGGGUGAGUAACACGUGAGUAACCUGCCCUUAACUCUGGGAUAAGCCUGGGAAACUGGGUCUAAUACCGGAUAGGAGCGUCCACCGCAUGGUGGGUGUUGGAAAGAUUUAUCGGUUUUGGUUGGACUCGCGGCAUAUCAGCUUGUUGGUGAGGUAAUGGCUCACCAAGGCGACGACGGGUAGCCGGCCUGAGAGGGUGACCGGCCACACUGGGACUGAGACACGGCCCAGACUCCUACGGGAGGCAGCAGUGGGGAAUAUUGCACAAUGGGCGCAAGCCUGAUGCAGCGACGCCGCGUGAGGGAUGACGGCCUUCGGGUUGUAAACCUCUUUCAGUAGGGAAGAAGCGAAAGUGACGGUACCUGCAGAAGAAGCACCGGCUAACUACGUG